rnacentral:rRNA from 1 species
UACGAAGGGAGCUAGCGUUGUUCGGAAUUACUGGGCGUAAAGCGUGCGUAGACGGUUACGUAAGUCGGGUGUGAAAGCCCCGGGCUCAACCUGGGAAUUGCAUUCGAGACUGCGAAGCUAGGGUGCGGAAGAGGGAAGCGGAAUUUCCGGUGUAGCGGUGAAAUGCGUAGAUAUCGGAAGGAACAUCAGUGGCGAAAGCGGCUUCCUGGUCCAGCACCGACGUUCAGGCACGAAAGCGUGGGGAGCAAACAGG